UACGGGGGGGGUAAGCGUUGUUCGGAAUUACUGGGCGUAAAGGGCUCGUAGGCGGCCAACUAAGUCCGACGUGAAAUCCCCAGGCUUAACCUGGGAACUGCGUCGGAUACUGGCGGGCUUGAAUCCGGGAGAGGGAUGCGGAAUUCCAGGUGUAGCGGUGAAAUGCGUAGAUAUCUGGAGGAACACCGGUGGCGAAGGCGGCAUCCUGGACCGGCAUUGACGCCUGAGGCGCGAAAGCUAGGGGAGCAAACGGG
rnacentral:rRNA from 1 species